ensembl:rRNA 5S_rRNA 5S ribosomal RNA
ACUUGGGUCCAUGACCACCCUGACCGGGCCUAUCUUGUCUGGCCUUGGAAGAUAAUCAGAGUCAGGCCUGGUUAGUAUUUGGAUGGGAGAGCAACCUGGAAUAAUUGGUGCUCUAGGCU